AGAGUUUGAUCCUGGCUCAGAUUGAACGCGGGCGGCAGGCCUAACACAUGCAAGUCGAACGGUAACAGGAAGCAGCUUGCUGUUUCGCUGACGAGUGGCGGACGGGUGAGUAAUGUCUGGGAAACUGCCUGAUGGAGGGGGAUAACUACUGGAAACGGUAGCUAAUACCGCAUAACGUCGCAAGACCAAAGAGGGGGACCUUCGGGCCUCUUGCCAUCGGAUGUGCCCAGAUGGGAUUAGCUAGUAGGUGGGGUAACGGCUCACCUAGGCGACGAUCCCUAGCUGGUCUGAGAGGAUGACCAGCCACACUGGAACUGAGACACGGUCCAGACUCCUACGGGAGGCAGCAGAGGGGAAUAUUGCACAAUGGGCUGCAAGCCUGAUGCAGCCAUGCCGCGUGCAUGAUGAAGGCCUUCGGGUUGUACAGUACUUUUCACCGAGGAGGAAGGGAGUAAAGCAAAUACCUUCGCUCAUUGACCUCACCCGCAGAAGAGGCACCGGCUAACUCCGUGCCCGCCGCCGCGGUUAUACUUGAGGGAGCAAGCGUUGUUCGGAAUUACUUGGGGGUAAAGCGCACGCCGGCGGUUUGUUAAGUCAAGAUGGAAAUCCCCGGGCUCAACCUUGGAACUGCAUCUGAUACUGGCAAGCUUGAGUCUCGUAGAGGGGGGUAGAAUUCCCAGGUGUAGCGGUGAAAUGCGUAGAGAUCUGGAGGAAUACCGGGGGCGAAGGCGGCCCCCUGGACGAAGACUGACGCUCAGGUGCGAAAGCGUGGGGAGCAAACAGGAUUAGAUACCCUGGUAGUCCACGCCGUAAACGAUGUCGACUUGGAGGUUGUGCCCUUGAGGCGUGGCUUCCGGAGCUAACGCGUUAAGUCGACCGCCUGGGGAGUACGGCCGCAAGGUUAAAACUCAAAUGAAUUGACGGGGGCCCGCACAAGCGGUGGAGCAUGUGGUUUAAUUCGAUGCAACGCGAAGAACCUUACCUGGUCUUGACAUCCACAGAACUUUCCAGAGAUGGAUUGGUGCCUUCGGGAACUGUGAGACAGGUGCUGCAUGGCUGUCGUCAGCUCGUGUUGUGAAAUGUUGGGUUAAGUCCCGCAACGAGCGCAACCCUUAUCCUUUGUUGCCAGCGGUCCGGCCGGGAACUCAAAGGAGACUGCCAGUGAUAAACUGGAGGAAGGUGGGGAUGACGUCAAGUCAUCAUGGCCCUUACGACCAGGGCUACACACGUGCUACAAUGGCGCAUACAAAGAGAAGCGACCUCGCGAGAGCAAGCGGACCUCAUAAAGUGCGUCGUAGUCCUGGAUUGGAGUCUGCAACUCGACUCCAUGAAGUCGGAAUCGCUAGUAAUCGUGGAUCAGAAUGCCACGGUGAAUACGUUCCCGGGCCUUGCAAAAACCGCCCGUCA
rnacentral:rRNA from 1 species